AUGCGAGGGAGCCUUUUCCCGAGGUCGACCUUGCUGGAUUCUUCAACAGCCACCCAAAGCUUCGCUCGCAAGUUUGAGGUCCAUGAUGCAGCCCCGGUCUGCAUCCCGAUGGUGCCCCUCACCUGUUCGACGGAGUGCUCGACCCAGGUCGACGAAGCCCAUGACGCCGCCACCGACGUUUCUGCUGUUCUGCACGUGUCGCUCCUCCCAGCAGCCACACCGAUGCUCGUCACUGACCUCCUUCACUCGGGUACCGACGCUGUCGAUUCGAUGCAGCUGUUUCGGAACCAUGACCUGGAGGUCUCGCCGCCCACAAGACACGAAGGGCUGCCGAUACGGCCGGCGCCAUGGCCAUCAUUUCUGGUGCAGCAUAGUGCAGAGGGGAAUGAGGUUCGACCCACUCCAUGGCCGUCGUUUGCUUGCUCUCAUGAAGAGGACAUAGCUUCCGGAUGA
rnacentral:rRNA from 1 species